AACUAUUAAAUUAGUGUCUUGAAAACACUUAACAGACAAAGUCUAGUAGUUU
rnacentral:tRNA from 1 species